AAAAGAAGCAGAGGGGAAAAAAACGUACGGCAUUGGCGAACCUUCUUCCUUCUAGAUUCCUUUCCUUCUCCAAUCCAAUCCAGGGGAAGCCCUCCUCACGCACACUCUCACAUGAUAUUCUUCAAUUUCUUUCCUCUUCCCCUAGAUAAAACAAACACAUAUUUAUCAUUAUGCAUACACAUUCAUUGAAUUUGAAGAUUUUAUUUUAGUUUGAUCUUCAGAUCUAUGUAAAGAAGAGAUUGCUUUUGAGUUUGGUUGAGAAGACACUGGAGGCAGCGGUUCAUCGAUCUUUUCCUGAAGACUUUUUUGUUUUACACGAAAAACACGAACCGAUCGAUAAACCUCUGCAUCCAGUGCUUCCCUUACUCCACUUUUUUUUUUCUUUUAAUUUUUUUCUCUUUCUAAACAAAACAAAACAGUUUGUUUUAGAAAAUUGUAUUGUUUGCUAGCAUCGUAAAAUCAUAAUUUUAUAUAUAUAUAUAUAUAUAUAAUUUAGAUUUGUGAGAGGCUGGUUAGUUACAGGGAAAGCAAAUGCAACAAAGCCUUAUCGUUUUCCAGUCGCGGCCUUGACCCGCAGACGGUCUAGUGUCUUUCAAAAUAGUUUGUGCUCGGGCAGUUCUAUUUCCACGCGCAAGGGGCUAGGUGGGGUCAUUUUAUGUUAUCCUAUAGAUGGUAGUCGAAAAAAUAGAGGAUUAAAAUUUCUGUGGAGAAUGUACUCACCAUUUUGACUUAUUUUCUGUAAAUCACUGGCUUUUAUUUUUUGGUGACUUGUGGUCCCACGGGUAUUUUUUAUUAUUUCGCAGGAAAGCAAUUCUGUCAUCAGUAGCCUUUCUGGUGUACUUUUCCU